CCCAGAAUCCCUUUUCCUUCCCAAAAGUGGUUUAUCCCGCCCUCUUUCUCCAGAGAGUUCUGUCUUUACACAAGUCUUUCCCUUUGAUCUCUUCCCUCCAGCCAUACUGUAACAUUGUGAAAGACCAGUUGAUUAGGUUUCUUGGUAGAUUGGACAGGAUUGCUUGGGAAAACACACACUUCCAUGGUUACACCUAGAUGUUAAAACUGGUUGGCAGGAGAACUGCUGGAGGGAUGUAAGCUUUUG